AGACGAACCGGACGAACGUUAUUCGGAAUCACUGGGCUUAAAGAGUGCGUAGGCGGCUUUGUAGGUGUGGUGUGAAAUCCCACGGCUCAACCGUGGAACUGCGCUUCAAACCACAAGGCUUGAGGGAGGCAGAGGUGAGCGGAACUGAUGGUGGAGCGGUGAAAUGCGUUGAUAUCAUCAGGAACACCAGUGGCGAAGGCGGCUCACUGGGCCUCUUCUGACGCUGAGGCACGAAAGCUAGGGUAGCGAACGGGAUUAGAAACCCGAGUAGUCC
rnacentral:rRNA from 1 species